CCUAGCAUCACUCUUCAGGCAGUAUUGGUUCACUUUUCAUGUCCAGAAGCUUUUCUUGUUUUGUAGCGCUCCAUGUUCGUUAUUAUUAAACUCACCAUCUGCACCUACUUCCUGACUCCCUGUGUCUACAUUACAGAUUCUGUCUCAGAAAUUAUGGAAGCAGCAAAUGAUUACACCAUCUUCCAAAUGGUAGAGCAACAGGUUAAUCUAGUCUACUGGGUACGACCAUGAAGGAUGUCCUACGUGUUCGCCACCGCCUUGACACCACCAGCAAAGUUCUCCAUACCUCUGACGGAGGGCCUCCUACCACGGGUCAUCACAGUGAGCCAGUCCCCCAGCCUACCCAGCAGUCCGCCCAGACGGGAGCCCCCACCCCCUAGAGGUCCAAGGUUGUCACGGUCAUUUCCCUGCUGACUGGACAGGCGUUGGAGUGGGCUACGGCCGUCUGGGAGAGAGGAGAGGAUGCGGUCUUCGACCAUCCUCCAGAGUGCAGAGAGGGAGGUGAGUGACUUUAUUUUUCUUCGAGAGCGCUGGUGUCCACCAUGCCACUCCACCCCUCGUUUGGCUGUCCUAAGGGAGAGCCUGAAACCAUGAGGUGGGGGGCCACGCACCUCUCCACGUCAUGGGAGACAGCUGGGACUCUGUUCCUAUUGCGGCCAGGAGGGACACCAGCUUCAGCGGUGCCCGGUGCGUCCUAAGCCGGGGUCCACUAGAACAGAGGGGUGGCCCUGUGACCUUCCAUCUCCCAAGGUAGGCGUGAGUUUUCCAUCACUUUCCGCCAAACCCUUUCUGGCUUCAUUUUUGCUGGCUGUCCCUCAUCUGUCUCUACAGCUCUAGUGGACUCCAGUGCCGCUGGGAACUUCAUCAACCAGGCCCUCGCCUCCUCCCUGAACUUAACUUCAUACCCGCUCUCCUCCUUUUCCUGUCCAAGCUCUGGAUAUGUGACCAUUGGGAUCCACCACAAUUACUCAUGUCACAGCACCACUCACCUUCAACGUGGGACCCAAGCACUAGGAAAGCCUUCCCUUCACCACCGCACCCAUAUACAAAGUAAUCCUCGGCCUCCCAUGGCUUCAACUCCAUAACCCCACCAUCUCCUGGUCAAGGAUGAGAAUCAUCGCCUGGGGACCAGGAUGCCGAGGGACCUGCUUUCCCGCACCCUGUGGUUCCACGUCUGUGGAGGGUCUUGGGAGUGUCCUCCAGCCCAUCAAGCGGUCCUCCCGUAUCGUUGGUCCCAUGUUUUGGGACAUGAUGUGGACAUCUGCCAGGCUCUGUAGAGAACCAGCUCCUGCCACCUGCCCUCCAGAGUGCAUCUACGUCCCCAAGGAGGUGAGAGAUCGGCUGUUGACCUGGGCACACACAUCCCUUGCCGCUGGACACCCAGGUAUCACCCGCACCAUCCAAUUCCUCUCCGAUAAAUACUGGUGGCCCACCUUGGCGAAGGACGUCGCCCACUAUGUCAACUUAUGUUCAGUAUGUACUCAGUCCAAAUCUUCCCGGCACACUCCAGCAGGUGAACUACUUUCGCUUCCCUCAGCGCCCUUGGUCACAUCUGUCCAUAGACUUUGUUAUGGAUCUCCCCAUUUCUGAUGGUUUUACCAUUAUUCUGGUUGUUGGUGACAGAUUCUCAAUCUUGCCGUUUUAUCCUUUUCUCUGGUCUACCUACCGCUCUCUCCAGGUCGCUGAGGCACUAUUCCAGCAGGUCUUCCAACACACGUCGCGGGUCUGGAAAGCCUUUAUGGAGAAGCUGGGGACCA
rnacentral:lncRNA from 1 species